rnacentral:rRNA from 1 species
AUUGAUUUUAUGCUUGCAUAAAUGAUUUUUGGAUUCGGAGCGAGUGGCGAACUGGUGAGUAACACGUGGGUAACCUGCCCCGAAGCGGGGGAUAACAUUUGGAAACAAGUGCUAAUACCGCAUAAUUAGUUGGAACCGCAUGGUUCCAACUUGAAAGAUGGCUCUGCUAUCACUUUGGGAUGGACCCGCGCCGUAUUAGUUAGUUGGUGAGAUAAAAGCCCACCAAGACGAUGAUACGUAGCCGACCUGAGAGGGUAAUCGGCCACAUUGGGACUGAGACACGGCCCAGACUCCUACGGGAGGCAGCAGUAGGGAAUCUUCCACAAUGGACGAAAGUCUGAUGGAGCAACGCCGCGUGAGUGAUGAAGGUUUUCGGAUCGUAAAACUCUGUUGUUAAAGAAGAACAAGUGCUAGAGUAACUGUUAACACUUUGACGGUAUUUAACCAGAAAGCCACGGCUAACUACGUGCCAGCAGCCGCGGUAAUACGUAGGUGGCAAGCGUUGUCCGGAUUUAUUGGGCGUAAAGCGAGCGCAGGCGGUUUUGUAAGUCUGCUGUGAAAGCCCUCAGCUCAACUGAGGAAGUGCAGUGGAAACUACAAAACUUGAGUACAGAAGAGGAAAGUGGAACUCCAUGUGUAGCGGUGAAAUGCGUAGAUAUAUGGAAGAACACCAGUGGCGAAGGCGGCUUUCUGGUCUGUUACUGACGCUGAGGCUCGAAAGCAUGGGUAGCGAACAGGAUUAGAUACCCUGGUAGUCCAUGCCGUAAACGAUGAAUACUAGGUGUUGGAGGGUUUCCGCCCUUCAGUGCCGCAGCUAACGCAUUAAGUAUUCCGCCUGGGGAGUACGACCGCAAGGUUGAAACUCAAAGGAAUUGACGGGGGCCCGCACAAGUGGUGGAGCAUGUGGUUUAAUUCGAUGCUACGCGAAGAACCUUACCAGCUCUUGACAUCUUCUGCCAACCCAAGAGAUUGGGCGUUCCCUUCGGGGACAGAAUGACAGGUGGUGCAUGGUUGUCGUCAGCUCGUGUCGUGAGAUGUUGGGUUAAGUCCCGCAACGAGCGCAACCCUUAUUAUUAGUUGCCAGCAUUUAGUUGGGCACUCUAGUGAGACUGCCGGUGAUAAA